UACGAAGGGGGCUAGCGUUGUUCGGAAUUACUGGGCGUAAAGGGCGCGUAGGCUGUGCUGUAAGUCAGGCGUGAAAGGCCCGGGCUCAACCUGGGAACUGCGCUUGAUACUGCGGCGCUCGAAGACGGGAGAGGAUGGCGGAAUUCCCAGUGUAGAGGUGAAAUUCGUAGAUAUUCGCAAGAACACCAGUGGCGAAGGCGGCUCACUGGCCCGGAACUGACGCUGAGGUGCGAAAGCGUGGGGAGCAAACGGG
rnacentral:rRNA from 1 species